CAGUAGCCGCGGUAAUACGUAGGUGGCGAGCGUUGCCCGGAAUUAUUGGGCGUAAAGGGCUCGCAGGCGGUUUCUUAAGUCUGAUGUGAAAGCCCCCGGCUCAACCGGGGAGGGUCAUUGGAAACUGGGAAACUUGAGUGCAGAAGAGGAGAGUGGAAUUCCACGUGUAGCGGUGAAAUGCGUAGAGAUGUGGAGGAACACCAGUGGCGAAGGCGACUCUCUGGUCUGUAACUGACGCUGAGGAGCGAAAGCGUGGGGAGCGAACAGGAUUAGAUACCCCUGUAGUCCCUGUCUCUUAUAC
rnacentral:rRNA from 1 species